AGCAGCCGCGGUAAUUCCAGCUCCAAUAGCGUAUAUUAAAGUUGUUGCAGUUAAAAAGCUCGUAGUUGAAUUUCGGGAUCAGUUGGUCGGUCGUGCCUCGGUACGUACUGGUCAAAUUGAUUCCUACCUUCUGACGAACCACGAUGUCAUUAAUUUGGUGUCGCGGGAAAUCAGGACUGUUACUUUGAAAAAAUUAGAGUGUUUAAAGCAGGCUCGCGCUUGAAUACAUUAGCAUGGAAUAAUGAAAUAGGACGUUUGAUUCUAUUUUGUUGGUUUCUAGGAUCGACGUAAUGAUUAAUAGGGAUAGUUGGGGGCAUUAGUAUUCAAUUGUCAGAGGUGAAAUUCUUGGAUUUAUUGAAGACUAACUACUGCGAAAGCAUUUGCCAAGGAUGUUUUCAUUAAUCAAGAACGAAAGUUAGGGGAUCGAAGACGACCAGAUACCGUCGUAGUCUUAACCAUAAACUAUGCCGACUAGGGAUCGGAUGAUGUUAAUUUUUUAAUGACUCAUUCGGCGCCGUUA
rnacentral:misc_RNA from 1 species